AACCUUUAGUGAUUUGUAUUCUAUUUUAAUUUCAGCACAUGAAAAUAUUUCUACUUCUGACCAUCGAAGAGAAUGGAAAACCAUUUUCCAGAUCAGCCCUCAUACAUCCUCCUGAUGGCCUAACAACUGAAUGACAUGUCGAUGCUGAGUAUGAUCCAUUUCAAUCAUUUGAGGAAGCUCUCCCUGAUAUAGGGGAUUGGAUGUACAAUGACGGACAUACGUUUAAUGAAGGAUUUGAAGAUGGUUUGAGUGAGGAGUGUGCAGAAGAGUCCAAUUUCAAGGACACAACAGACAAACCAAUACAUGACAAUGCAUCAGAAACCAUGGCAGAGUGCCUUCUGAUCAGCAUGGGUUAUGUAAACUGUCCUAAAGUCACAGGUAAGGCCCUAAGCCAUAUGCUCAAAAUGUUCAAGUUGCUUUAUCCCGAUAGUCUGAACACAGACUGCUUAAACAGUGUGCAGAAGUUCCAAAACUUUUUUUUAUCCCACUCUGCAUCAUCGCCUACUAUAUUACAUAAAUCCUCCAAGAAUUGUUUUGGGCCAAUAGAAAGUAAACAAAUAAAAUGCCUGCUUUGUGGGACCAGUGUGUCAGAAGAAAGAUUCUCAUCCUUUUUUUAAAGUAUGUACAGAUUGAUUUCUUGUUUACCACAGCACAUUCAUGUGCCAAAUGGGCCCUCGUUGGUGAAUAUAAACAUGCAGGUUUUUCUUUGCUGCAAGAUAGUGUAACAUAUGAGACAUGCAGUCAUGUUAUUCCCCUAUUGGAAACCUCUGCAGUACAGUAGUAUUCUUGGAUGACAUAUUGGGUAAAGUUGUUUUCCUUGACUUCACAUCUAUGCCUGGCAUAGUGAUUGCAGUUCAUUUCCCCAACACACUUGAAAAGUUUGAAAUAAUGAAGAACUGAACUGGCCUAAGAAGCCACAAAUCAAAUCUUUAAUCAUUGUUAUAAAUGCUCUGAAAAUACACACUGAUGUGAUGUUGCCGUGGAUUCUGUAAAUAUGUACUGUAUAUGGAGUAUCAUUGUUGAUGAUGUUUUUGCAUUGUGUGUAAUAUUUCAGUGGCAAAUAUAUUACAUUUACUUGUUUAAUAAAGCCACUGUCUUUUUUAAUGAAUACAUAGGCCUACUAUGCUACUGCAUUUUAAUAUUAGUCCUUAUGAUGGUGGUUGGAGAGCCAAAUAUCUUCUGAAGUGGUACUUUGUUAAAAGAGUUUGAGAACCACUGCUCUAGAAAGUUCACAAAUGUUAAAAGCUCUUAAAAAGUGUCUUGUGAUCAUAUCAGUAUUGUUUGGGUUCAGUUUUAAAUCUCACAAUUGUAGUCACUGAGUUACUGUACAUGACGUGUGGAUAAGAAAUCAACAAAUUAAGUCCAACUUUAUUUAAAUAAACCAUUUAGAUUACAGACCAUAUAUCCAUAUUGUCUGAAUUCAUUAUUUUCUCCCAAUGUUGGCAUGAGAUCAACUGGAAUAUGAUUGAGGUAUAACUAAAUUGAGCCCAUUAAAAUGCAUUUUUUUAGAAAACGGGUAUAUCUAACAACUCAAAUAGUGAGCAGUGAGAGACAAAACCAAGUAUAUCUCUCACUGAGACAUCAUUGAGACAUAUUGAAACCAAUACUCAUCAAUUGUCUUUUUGCCGAAAUAGAAAAGAGACAUCUGAGAACUCAAACAGUGAGUAGUGAGAAACAAAACCAGGUGUUUCUCUCACUGAGUCAUAAUUGAGACAUAUUGGAGACCAGCUCAUUCAUCUCUCAUUUUGGUCUUAGUUGAAAUGGGGAAAAGAGAUAACUAUUAGACAACUAUGAGAUCUCUCAUAGUGCUCACUGUGAGCCUUAUUUCUCAGGAGAUACAUUUGAGAAGAAUGAGAAAACUACUUUGGUCUCCAUUAGUGCUCUUUUAUGUCUAGGAGAUAUAUAUAAGACAUACAUGAGAUCUCAUCUUCAAUUUUGCUUUGCUAUGGGAAACAAGAGUUUGAUGAGCAUUCCUCAACUUUUUCGGUCUUUUUUCUAAGCAUGUUGCAGGCAUCAAAUUCCAAAAUGAGCUAACAUUUGCAAAAAAAAAAGUUUCUCAGAUCCAACAUCAAAUAUCUUGUCUUUGCAGUCUAUUCAAUUGAAUAUAAGUUAAAAAGGAUUUACAAAUCAUUGUAUUCUGUUUUUAUUUACCAUUUACACAACGUGCUACUUCACUGGUUUGGGGUUUUGUACAUGUUGACAGUACAUUGCAGUGUUAUUUUGUUACAGCCGUGCCCACUGUGUGAAGUACUUUUGCAAGACUCCUAGCAAUAAUAUUACACUUCACCAAAGAGCCUGCUGUAAAAGAAAUGACCAUUGAAUGAAGAUACAUACUCAGGUCACCGUGAUCUGAAAAGGAGAGUGAAGAAUGUUUUUGUAUUCCCCAGAUUCUAAUCAUCUUGGAUGAAUAAACAAGCAAUUCCUAAUUUCACUUGGAAAUGGGUUUACUAUAAAAGUGUAGCACUGUUUCCACACAAAAUACCUUCUGUUUUUGGAAAGAUGCCCAUGUGUGUCUUCCAGGUUGAACAUUCCACCCUUUGUGCCUGCCCGGACUGUGCUGGAAGGCCUCGAGUCAGAGGAUGCGUGUGAAGACAAGAAAGCUGUAAAAAAGGAGAUCCAUAGCAAAAAGGAAGCCAAAAUGGAAGAGGAGAAUACAGACCUGCUCAGACUUUGCCACACAGUACCGCUGGAGGUGGUGAACUUAGGUGGGAAAGGUUACGAUCCAGAGAAGAAAGACUACUCAGGUUUUGAGGCCUGGUUGCAGUGUUACUAUGUGGAUGGAAUGAAGUCUGUACGCGACCACAAUGGCAGGACUAUGUGGUUCAAAGUAUGCAAACACAUUUUCAUACGUAACAACUAUAUUUGUAGCAUGUAUUGACUAAUAGAAAAUGGUGUCAUUUCAGGGCGAUCCAGGUCCUAUGGCUCCUAAAGGUAAACGCCAGAAAAAAUAGUUGAGAUACCAUUACACAUAAGAGAAAGCUUAGUGUGUCUUUAUCUUUUCUCACACACCAGAAUCAAAGUCUCCAAAGGCCAAAAAGAGAAAAGAUACAGAUGCAGACCAUGAUUACCCCCGCAAGAAAAAGGUAUAUUCAGUAGGUAAUCACCACCAGCACAUAGAAAUCUAACCCCAUUGUGGCUGUACUUCAGGUGUCCAGGAAACACAACUCUGACAGCACAGUGAAGAAAAAAGCAGCCAAAAAGCCCACAAAAGCAGCAAAGGAAGAAGAAAAUGGACCUCAAGAAGAAGCCACACCCAGAAGAAGAUCAGCAAACACACCUCAGCAAGAACCGAAAUCCACGUCAGGCAGGAGGAAAAAGAACAAUACAGAGCCAGCUGCAGGUCUGAUUCUAAUAAUACUCCCAUUUUCUGAAAAUAUUAAGAGCCUGAUCUUUGAGGAUCCAAUUCCCACACACUUAUCUGUGUGCGCAAACUAUAAAAUUGCAUGUACUGUUGGUGGACGUGUUGUAUGUGAUCUACUUUGUGCAAUUGAUAGCAGCAAAAGUGGCACAGAUCACCCUAUUUUUGUGUACUAGAAGCAUUAUGUGCCCUUGGAAACACUUCUUUCCCUCUACAUUCAUGUUAUUAUGCUCUCCACACUGGAGGGGGGCUUAUAUUAGAUUAUAGCACAUAUCGAUCAUCUAACACCUUUUCUGCAAUAUAGAAUCACAGUAUGUAUACUAUUUGCAGCAGGAAUGAUCAAACUGCAUAUUGCAAGACAUUUUUUUUAGGAGUUAUACUAAAUACAAAAAAAAAAAACGCAACGCUUUUGUUCUUGUUCCCAAUUUAAAUGAACUCAAAGAUCGAAAACUUUGACUAUAAACACAAAAUACCUGUUCCUCUCAAAUAUUGUUCACAAAUCUGUAUACAUUUGUUAGUGAGCAUUUUUUCUUUGCCAAGAUAAUCCAUCCCACCUGACAGGUGUGCCUUGAGCUGUCCAAAAUAAAAGGCCACUGUGAAAUGUGCAGUUUUAUCACACAACACAAUGCUUCAGAUGUCGCAAGUUUUGAGGGAGCGUGCAGUAGGCAUGCUGACUGCAGCAAUGUCCACCAGAGCUGUUGCCCGUCAAUUAAAUGUUUAUUUCUCCGCCAUAAGAAUAGAAUAGAAUAGAAAGUACUUUAUUGAUCCCUGGGGGAAAUUCAGCACCACAGUUCGCUCACAAUAAACAAUGAUAAUAAUAAAUAAUAUAAUAUAUAUGAAUAAUAUAAAUAUAUUCUACAUUUAAGUGCAGUCAAGGAACAUAUGCAUUAUACAGUCUGAUGGCUGUCGGUGUGAAGGACCUCCUGUGUCGUUCCGUGUUGCAUUUUGGGAGUCUGAGCCUUCCACUGAAUGUGCUCAUUCUCUCUGCAAGGUCCGAGUGUAGUGGGUGGGAGGUGUUGUCCAUAAUGGCUAGGAGUUUUGCUAGACUUCUCUCUGACACCACCGCCAGAGAGUCCAGCUCCACUCCCAUCUUGUUACUGGCCUUCUCUACCAACUUGUCCAGUCUGUAUGUGUCCCUCACUCUCAGCCCACUGCCCCAGCAGGCCACGGCGUACAAGAGGGCGCCUGCCACCAGCGACUCGUAGAACAUCUUCAACAUCUUUGUACAGACGUUGAAGGAUCCUAGCCUCCAAAGGAAAUAUAGAUUCGGCUCUGUCCCUUCUUGUAGAGGGCCUCAGCGUGUUUUGACCCAUUCAGCUUGUUGUCCAUGUGUACUCCGAGGUAUUUAUAAUCCUCUACCAUGUCCACAUCCACCCCCUUGAUGGAAAGAGGGGUCGCCAGAGUACUCCUCCUCCUUCCCAGGUCCACAACCAGCUCCUUGGUCUCCGUAACAUUGAGCUGGAGGUGGUUCUUUCCACACCAUGUGACAAAGUCCUCCACCAGUGUCCUGUAUUCCUCGUCAUCACCUUCCUCAAUACACCCCACUAUCGCAGAGUCAUCAGAAAACUUCUGAAGGUGGCAGGACUCUGACUGAUAGUGGAAAUGGGUGGUGUGAAUGGUGUAGAGGAAGGGGGAAGAGUACUGUAGCCUCCGGGGCCCCGGUGUUGCUGACCAGCCUGUCAGACACACAGUCCUGCAGUCGCAUAUACUGUGGUCUGUCAGUCAGGUAAUCUACAACCCAGGACACCAAGGGGGCCUCCACCUGCAUCUUCUCCAACUUCACACCCAGUAGCCCAGGCCGUUUAGUAUAAGCCGCCUCCAAAGGUGUUUCAGAGAAUUUGGCAAUACAUCCAACUGGCCUCACAGCCGCAGACCAUAUUGAUUGGCUGAGACCUGCCACCCGGACAGCUGCUACAACAAUUGGUUUGCUUAACCAUAGCAUUUCUGCACAAACUGUAAGAAACUACCAUGAAUUGAUUAACGUGGACCCCGACUUAAACAAGUUGAAAAACAUAUUGGGGUGUUACCAAUUAGUGGUCAAUUGUACGGAAUAUGUACUGAACUGUGCAAUCUACUAAUAAAAGUAUCAAUCAAUCAAUCUGUCUCAAGAAAGCUCAUCUGCAUGCUCGUGGUCCUCAUCGGGGUCUCGACCUAACUGCAGUUUGUCUUCUUAACCAACUUGAGUGGGCAAAUGCUCACACUCAAUGGCGUCUGGCACAAUACAGAGGUUUUGGUAUGUUAUUAUUGACAGCGAAACCACGUGCAUUUUAUUGAUGGCAUUUUCCAUGCGCAGAGAUACCGUCACGAGACCCUGAGCCCCAUUGUUGUACUAAUCACCCGAGGCCAUCACCUUUAUAAAUAACAUUUACUAACUCAUGUUGCAAGGAUCUGGAAGCUAAAAACAUCCCAGUUCUUGCAUGACCAGCAUACUCACCGGACAUGUCACCCAGUAAGUAAUUUUUGAGAGGAAUAUAUAUUUUCUGUAUAGUAAAAGUUUCAGAUCUUUAAGUUCAAUUCAUGAUAAAUGGGAGCAAAAACAAAAGUGUUGCGUUUAUAUAUUUGUUCAAUACCAUAUUUUUCGGAGUAUAAGUCGCACCUGCCGAAAAUGCAUAAUAAAGAAGGAAAAAAAAACAUACAAGUCGCACUGGAGUAUAAGUCGCAUUUUUGGGGGGAAA